rnacentral:rRNA from 1 species
GACGAACGCUGGCGGCGUGCUUAACACAUGCAAGUCGAACGGUAAGGCCCUUCGGGGUACACGAGUGGCGAACGGGUGAGUAACACGUGGGUGAUCUGCCCUGCACUUCGGGACAAGCCUGGGAAACUGGGUCUAAUACCGGAUAGGACUCCGGACUGCAUGGUCUGGGGUGGAAAGCUUUUGCGGUGUGGGAUGGGCCCGCGGCCUACCAGCUUGUUGGUGGGGUGAUGGCCUACCAAGGCGCCGACGGGUAGCCGGCCUGAGAGGGUGACCGGCCACACUGGGACUGAGAUACGGCCCAGACUCCUCCGGGAGGCAGCAGUGGGGAAUAUUGCACAAUGGGCGCAAGCCUGAUGCAGCGACGCCGCGUGAGGGAUGACGGCCUUCGGGUUGUAAACCUCUUUCAGCACCGACGAAGCGCAAGUGACGGUAGGUGCAGAAGAAGGACCGGCCAACUACGUGCCAGCCGCCGCGGUAA